UACGUAGGGGGCAAGCGUUGUCCGGAAUCAUUGGGCGUAAAGAGCGUGUAGGCGGCCUUAUAAGUCGGCUGUGAAAGUCAAGGGCUCAACCCUUGAAUGCCGGUGGAUACUGUCGGGCUAGAGUGCGGAAGAGGCGAGUGGAAUUCCUGGUGUAGCGGUGAAAUGCGCAGAUAUCAGGAGGAACACCAAUUGCGAAGGCAGCUCGCUGGGACGUAACUGACGUUGAGACGCGAAAGCGUGGGGAGCAAACAGG
rnacentral:rRNA from 1 species